UUGUUAAAGAUGAAGCUCAAAUUUGAAUUUAAGAACACAUGCAAUAAGUCAGAUAUAUUCUGAGAUUGCACAUGACAUAUCGGUUGAUAACUGACUACAUGUUAGUUGUAGAAAUUCAAGGAGCUAUAUGACAUUCUUGUAACAUCGGUUAAAUAAGUAAGUGGUACACGUGAUACGGUUGUUAUUCACGAGGGGAAAUUCUGGGCUUCUUCACAACAAACCCAGAAGACAGCAGCUGAUUGGUGCAAGGUCUUUCUAGAUCCUCUAUUGGUUAUAUAUAUGCCUUUAUGGUUAGAUCUAAACAUAGAGUGAUUCAAUAACACCUUCUGAGAAACCUUGUAUCUUGAAAAAACUCUAAUAGCGAAACUUUUCUUCUCUUUCGCAAUGGAUGUAGGCUCACUUUGUGGUCGAAUCAGUAUAAAUCUUGGUGUCAAGUGUGUGUGUGUGUGUUUGAUUCUGAUUUCUUGAAUUUCUUGUUCAGGUUGCAAUUGGUUCUUUAAUCAUACUAAAGCUUGCAUUCGUUAAGUCAAUUUUGAGAUUACAGAACAUAAGGAGUGGAUCUCGGGGAAUCUAAAUCGGUGUCUUAUCUUGUUUAGUUUCAACAAUUAUAUUAUUCAAUAAAUAUUACAUUUGUUAAAAACAAUAACAUUAAACUUAUUUAAAUA
rnacentral:lncRNA from 1 species